rnacentral:sRNA from 1 species
UAAAAAAAACAUAAAAAA